UACGUAGGGUGCAAGCGUUAAUCGGAAUUACUGGGCGUAAAGCGUGCGCAGGCGGUUUUGUAAGUCUGUCGUGAAAUCCCCGGGCUCAACCUGGGAAUUGCGAUGGAGACUGCAAGGCUAGAAUCUGGCAGAGGGGGGGUAGAAUUCCACGUGUAGCAGUGAAAUGCGCAGAUAUCAGGAGGAACACCAAUGGCGAAGGCAGCUCACUGGGACGGUAUUGACGCUGAGACGCGAAAGCGUGGGGAGCAAACAGG
rnacentral:rRNA from 1 species